UACGUAGGCAGCAAGCGUUGUUCGGAGUUACUGGGCGUAAAGGGUGUGUAGGCGGUUGUUUAAGUUUGGUGUGAAAUCUCCCGGCUCAACUGGGAGGGUGCGCCGAAUACUGAAUGACUAGAGUGCGGGAGAGGAUAGUGGAAUUCCUGGUGUAGCGGUGAAAUGCGCAGAUAUCAGGAGGAACACCAAUGGCGAAGGCAGCUCACUGGGACGGUAUUGACGCUGAGACGCGAAAGCGUGGGGAGCAAACAGG
rnacentral:rRNA from 1 species